rnacentral:antisense_RNA from 1 species
CUUCAACGAGCCCAGCCACAACGGCACCUCCCGGCCCUGCCCGUACGUGGCGAGCACCGCCUGCGCCUC